UCGAGAAUUUUUCUCAAUGGGCGAAAGCCUGAAGGAGCGACGCCGCGUGGGGGAUGAAUGGCUUCGGCCCGUAAACCCCUGUCAUUUGCGAACAAACCCUAUCAUUUAAAAGAUGAUAGGCUGAUUGUAGCGAAAGAGGAAGGGACGGCUAACUCUGUGCCAGCAGCCGCGGUAAUACGUAGGGUGCGAGCGUUGUCCGGAAUUACUGGGCGUAAAGAGCUCGUAGGGGGUUUGUCGCGUUGUUCGUGA
rnacentral:rRNA from 1 species